rnacentral:rRNA from 1 species
UCCGUAGGCGGUGCGGCAAGUCGGGGGUGAAAUCUCUGGGCUUAACCCAGAGGCUGCUUCCGAAACUGCCGCGCUAGAGUGUGAGAGAGGCGAGUGGAAUUGCGGGUGUAGCGGUGAAAUGCGUAGAUAUCCGCAGGAACAUCCGAGGCGAAGGCGGCUCGCUGGAUCACAACUGACGCUGAGGGACGAAAGCUAGGGGAGCAAACAGGAUUAGAUACCCUGGUAGUCCUAGCCCUAAACCAUCAGGACUUGGGGUUUGCCCUGUACGGGGCAAGUCCCGUAGCUAACGCGUUAAGUCCUGCGCCUGGGGAGUACGGUCGCAAGGCUGAA